rnacentral:rRNA from 1 species
ACGCGUGGAACCUUACCAGGUCUUGACAUCCCGCUGCCCGGUAUAGAGAUAUACCUUUCCCUUCGGGGACAGCGGUGACAGGUGGUGCAUGGUUGUCGUCAGCUCGUGUCGUGAGAUGUUGGGUUAAGUCCCGCAACGAGCGCAACCCUUGAUCUUAGUUGCCAGCAUUCAGUUGGGCACUCUAAGGUGACUGCCGGUGACAAACCGGAGGAAGGUGGGGAUGACGUCAAAUCAUCAUGCCCCUUAUGACCUGGGCUACACACGUGCUACAAUGGAUGGUACAAAGGGCUGCAAGACCGCGAGGUUUAGCCAAUCCCAUAAAACCAUUCUCAGUUCGGAUUGCAGGCUGCAACUCGCCUGCAUGAAGCUGGAAUCGCUAGUAAUCGCGGAUCAGCAUGCCGCGGUGAAUACGUUCCCGGGCCUUGCACACACCGCCCGU